UACGUAGGGUCCGAGCGUUGUCCGGAAUUAUUGGGCGUAAAGGGCUCGUAGGCGGUUAGUCACGUCGGGAGUGAAAACUCAGGGCUCAACCCUGAGCGUGCUUCCGAUACGGGCUGACUAGAGGUAUGCAGGGGAGAACGGAAUUCCUGGUGUAGCGGUGGAAUGCGCAGAUAUCAGGAGGAACACCAGCGGCGAAGGCGGCGCUCUGGGCCGGUACUGACACUGAGGAGCGAAAGCGUGGGUAGCAAACAGG
rnacentral:rRNA from 1 species